AAUUAGAAAGUGAAUUUAUUACAUUUAGUUUCGACCUAACCUUUGACUUUCUUUAGUCUCUAAUUA
rnacentral:tRNA from 1 species